rnacentral:rRNA from 1 species
CUAAAUAGUCAGGCUAUUCUUUGAAUGGUCGACGACUUCUUAGAGGGACUAUCGGCGUUUAGCCGAUGGAAGUUUGAGGCAAUAACAGGUCUGUGAUGCCCUUAGAUGCUCUGGGCCGCACGCGCGCUACACUGAUGAAGUCAUCGAGUACAUAUCCUUUACCGGAAGGUAUGGGUAACCUUUUGAAACUUCAUCGUGAUGGGGAUAGAGCAUUGCAAUUAUUGCUCUUCAACGAGGAAUCCCUAGUAAGCGUGAGUCAUCAGCUCAUGCUGAUUACGUCCCUGCCCUUUGUACACACCGCCCGUCGCUACUACCGAUUGAAUGGCUUAGUGAGACCCACGGAUCGACUCAUGGAAACCUUCACGGGUAUCUAUUUGUUGAAAAGUUGGUCAAACUUGGUCAUUUAGAGGAAGUAAAAGUCGUAACAAGGUUUCCGUAGGUGAACCUGCGGAAGGAUCAUUA